GGGGGUUUAGCCCAGUGGUAGAGCACAUGCUUAGCAUGCACAAGGUCCUGGGUUCAAUCCCUAGUACCUCCA
rnacentral:tRNA from 1 species